rnacentral:rRNA from 1 species
AAGGAAUAUUGCUCAAUGGGGGAAACCCUGAAGCAGCAACGCCGCGUGAAGGAUGAAAUACUUUUGUAUGUAAACUUCUGUAAGAUGGGAAAAAUAUUCUCCUCGGGAGAAUUGAUUGUACCAUCAGAGUAAGCCCCGGCUAACUACGUGCCAGCAGCCGCGGUAAUACGUAGGGGGCAAGCGUUGUCCGGAUUCACUGGGUGUAAAGGGUGCUCAGGCGGACUUGUAAGUCAGAGGUGAAACUCCGAAGCUUAACUUCGGAACUGCCUUUGAUACUGCAAGUCUCGAGUACGGGAGAGGGUAAUGGAAUAACAGGUGUAGCAGUGAAAUGCGUAGAUAUCUGUUAGAACACCAAUGGCGAAGGCAGUUGCCUGGCCCGUUACUGACGCUAAAGCACGAAAGUGUGGGUAGCAAAC